rnacentral:rRNA from 1 species
AUUGAACGCUGGCGGAAUGCUUUACACAUGCAAGUCGAACGGCAGCACGGGGGCAACCCUGGUGGCGAGUGGCGAACGGGUGAGUAAUACAUCGGAACGUGCCCGGUCGUGGGGGAUAACGUAGCGAAAGUUACGCUAAUACCGCAUACGAUCUGAGGAUGAAAGCGGGGGACCUUCGGGCCUCGCGCGAUCGGAGCGGCCGAUGCCAGAUUAGGUAGUUGGUGGGGUAAAGGCCUACCAAGCCGACGAUCUGUAGCUGGUCUGAGAGGACGACCAGCCACACUGGGACUGGGACACGGCCCAGACUCCUACGGGAGGCAGCAGUGGGGAAUUUUGGACAAUGGGCGCAAGCCUGAUCCAGCCAUUCCGCGUGCAGGACGAAGGCCUUCGGGUUGUAAACUGCUUUUGUAUGGAACGAAAAGGCUCUGGCUAAUACCUGGGGCUCAUGACGGUACCGUAAGAAUAAGCACCGGCUAACUACGUG